GCCUGGCUGGCUCAGUCAGUAGAGUGUAUGACUCUUGAUUUUGGGGUUAUGAGUUCAAGCCCCGUGUUAGGCC
rnacentral:tRNA from 1 species